CCUACGGGAGGCAGCAGUGGGGAAUAUUGCACAAUGGGCGCAAGCCUGAUGCAGCGACGCCGCGUGGGGGAUGACGGCCUUCGGGUUGUAAACUCCUUUCAGCCAUGACGAAGCCUUUGUGGUGACGGUAGUGGUAGAAGAAGCACCGGCUAACUACGUGCCAGCAGCCGCGGUAAUACGUAGGGUGCGAGCGUUGUCCGGAAUUACUGGGCGUAAAGAGCUCGUAGGUGGUCUGUCGCGUCAUUUGUGAAAGCCCGGGGCUUAACUCCGGGUUGGCAGGUGAUACGGGCAUGACUGGAGUACUGUAGGGGAGACUGGAAUUCCUGGUGUAGCGGUGAAAUGCGCAGAUAUCAGGAGGAACACCGGUGGCGAAGGCGGGUCUCUGGGCAGUAACUGACGCUGAGGAGCGAA
rnacentral:rRNA from 1 species